AUAAAACAUAACUCUAACAGCCACAUUGUAACUCUUCGGCCAACAGACUCUGCCACUCUGCCACUGAUUAGUGCACCAAUGGCUCCUCCAAGUGUCAGUAAUGAACUGAAUGCUGAAUAAUUUGCAAGAGACAAGCCCAGAUCAUCCAUGAUCCCUGCUUCAGCUGGAGAUGAAUAUCCGACAGCAAAUCCAUAGGCUAUAGAACCACAAGCAGCAGCAAAUGUACUAAGUAGAAGAACAAAUGUUAUAGGGCUUCUAGUCUCUACUUUGCUACUGCUCCCACACAACAAUUUUGACGAUUCCGGUUUCGACUUGUCCAUCUUCUGCUAGAAAGAAACUAAGCACCACAACAAUCUGCUGUAAAUGAGUUGUUACAACAACUUCUCAACAAUAGUAUUUUUAUUUUGCAAACUCAUGAUUCACACACUCAUUCUA
rnacentral:misc_RNA from 1 species